rnacentral:rRNA from 1 species
GUGGGGAAUUUUGGACAAUGGGCGCAAGCCUGAUCCAGCAAUGCCGCGUGCAGGAAGAAGGCCUUCGGGUUGUAAACUGCUUUUGUACGGAACGAAACGGUCCGGGUUAAUACCCUGGGCUAAUGACGGUACCGUAAGAAUAAGCACCGGCUAACUACGUGCCAGCAGCCGCGGUAAUACGUAGGGUGCAAGCGUUAAUCGGAAUUACUGGGCGUAAAGCGUGCGCAGGCGGUUUUGUAAGACAGACGUGAAAUCCCCGGGCUCAACCUGGGAAUUGCGCUUGUGACUGCAAGGCUGGAGUGCGGCAGAGGGGGAUGGAAUUCCGCGUGUAGCAGUGAAAUGCGUAGAUAUGCGGAGGAACACCGAUGGCGAAGGCAAUCCCCUGGGCCUGCACUGACGCUCAUGCACGAAAGCGUGGGGAGCAAACAGGAUUAGAUACCCCUGUAGUCC